CUACGGGCGGCUGCAGUGGGGAAUAUUGCACAAUGGAGAAAACUCUGAUGCAGCAACGCCGCGUGGAGGAUGACACUUUUCGGAGCGUAAACUCCUUUUAUAUAGGAAGAAGAUGACGGUACUAUAUGAAUAAGCGCCGGCUAACUCCGUGCCAGCAGCCGCGGUAAUACGGAGGGCGCAAGCGUUACUCGGAAUCACUGGGCGUAAAGAGCGUGUAGGCGGAUUAAAAAGUCAGAAGUGAGAUCCUAUAGCUUAACUAUAGAACUGCUUCUGAAACUCUUAAUCUAGAAUAUGGGAGAGGUAGAUGGAAUUUCUGGUGUAGGGGUAAAAUCCGUAGAGAUCAGAAGGAAUACCGAUUGCGAAGGCGAUCUACUAGAACAUUAUUGACGCUGAGACGCGAAAGCGUGGGGAGCAAACAGGAUUAGAUACCCGAGUAGUC
rnacentral:rRNA from 1 species